rnacentral:tRNA from 1 species
GCCUGGGUGGCUCAGUUGGUUGAGUGUCCGACUUCGGCUCGGUUGUGAUCUCACGGUUCGUGAGUUCGAACCCCAUAUCGGGCU